CUAUGUCUGUCAGUGUGUGUGUGUGUAUGUCUGUCAGGUGUGUCUGUCAGUGUGUGUAUCAUGUGUGUCUGUCCGGUGUGUAUCUAUCCAGUGUGUGUGUAAUAUGUCAUGGUGUGUGUGUAUCUGUGUCUGUCAGUGUGUGUGUGUGUGUGUAUCUAUCUCUGUCAGUGUGUGUGUGUGUAUGUCUGUCAGUGUGUGUGUAUCUAUGUCUGUCAGUGUGUGUGUGUGUAUCCAUGUCUGUCAGUGUGUGUGUAUCUAUGUCUGUCAGUGUGUGUGUGUGUAUGUCUGUCAGUGUGUGUGUAUCUAUGUCUGUCAGUGUGUGUGUGUGUAUGUCUGUCAGUGUGUCUGUCAGUGUGUAUCUAUGUCUGUCAGUGUGUAUCUGUCAGUGUGUGUGUGUAUGUCUGUCAGUGUGUGUGUGUGU